AUUGAACGCUGGCGGCAGGCUUAACACAUGCAAGUCGAGCGGAGUGAUGGUGCUUGCACUAUCACUUAGCGGCGGACGGGUGAGUAAUGCUUAGGAAUCUGCCAUUUAGUGGGGGACAACAUUCCGAAAGGAAUGCUAAUACCGCAUACGUCCUACGGGAGAAAGCAGGGGAUCUUCAGACCUUGCGCUAAAUGAUGAGCCUAAGUCGGAUUAGCUAGUUGGUGGGGUAAAGGCCUACCAUGGCGACGAUCUGUAGCGGGUCUGAGAGGAUGAUCCGCCACACUGGGACUGAGGCACGGCCCAGACUCCUACGGGAGGCAGCAGUGGGGAAUAUUGGACAAUGGGCGGAAGCCUGAUCCAGCCAUGCCGCGUGUGUGAAGAAGGCCUUCUGGUUGUAAAGCACUUUAAGCGAGGAGGAGGCUACUAGUACUAAUACUACUGGAUAGUGGACGUUACUCGCAGAAUAAGCACCGGCUAACUCUGUGCCAGCCGCCGCCGUAAUAC
rnacentral:rRNA from 1 species